AGUUUAUGAGCUUGUUAUAAGCAUAUAUUUUGAAAAUAUAAGAAAGAGUCUUUAUUCUCUAUAAACUU
rnacentral:tRNA from 1 species